CAGCUUUUAGAGAUCUUGACGGCGCGUCCGGUGACUCCAAGGCGUGAAAAAAGAAGGCGCUUGACGGAAGAGAAUGGAUCAGAGAUGAGGAGAGGAGGACAGGAGCCUUAAGAGGCAGCAUGGCACCGUGCCCGCGCUCGCUUCGCUCCUCCUUACAGCUGACACCCACGGGAGACAAGGGAGUCGGACCUGAAACCUGACAAGUGUUUCAGCCUCACCGGAAGCCUCACCUCUGGUUUCCUCUUGCAACAGGUGCCAAGUGACCCACACAGGGAUAAAACCCAGGAGAGAAAGGAAAGAUGGGAAGUAUGGAUUUCAGCAGGCCAGAGCAAGCAGUGCAGCAUGCAGUGUCACAUAUUUAGUCAUUAAGGUUUUCAAGGGAAAAACAAAAGGCUACUUAGGUUGAAAUGGGGUUAUCCUGGAUAUUGUGGAUUAA